rnacentral:lncRNA from 1 species
UUUUUUAGGUUUUUUCUUUAUUAAUAUUUUCUUUACAAGGAUAUGAAAUAAAAUUCCAAAUGGACAAAGAAAAAAUGACAUAAUCACAAAUAAUAUGAUAUGGGAUGCUAAACAUAAAGUAUAAAGUAAAUGGCAUAAAAUAAAAGAGCAUAACGUAAAUGAUUUUGAAGUAAAAGUUAAUACAAAGUAAAAUGUUAGCAAAUGAUGUUAGUAAUAAAAAAUAAACCUGUAAGCAUGAAAACA